ACAGCGAUCCCUGUCGGUCCUGCUGUCUCCUCCAGCCUCACCACCCCACCCCAGCCCCCAUCUCCCAGCACUGGGCGAGUGCUAUGACUGCCGGGGCGAGGCAUCCUAAAGGUGUUGGGGCUUCACUCCCUGACCCCACGAAGGCGGCCAUCCUUUGGUGUCCCUCCUAAGGGGCCCAACAUCCCCUUCAAAAGGAAAGCUAGUGUGGCUGCCCUUGAAUGGGAAGGACGCCGGCCACCCUCCUGAGGGUGCCAUCUGUGUAUCUCAAGAGGACCCAACCUCCCUUUUGUGGUGGGAGAGGAAAGAAAUGAGCCUCGGAGCUGUGCCAGGGAGGAGACGGCGGGCACGCCACACCUUGGGCUUCCUGGACCCUCCCCCUUCACCUGUCCCUUCCAGGCAUCGAUCGAGAUCCUCAAGAGGAGAUCCUCUCUUCUCCAAACUCCCGCGAGCAUCACAUCCAGAGAGUGGCCCUGGUGUCCAAGGCUUUGGCAACUCCCCUUCUGACGCAUCCCCCUCUUCCAGCCAAAGUGAAUCCUUUCCUAUCCCAGAUUCCCUGCUCAGCGGUGUUGCGAGCCGAGCCGCAAGCCCAGACGGCGCCCGCCUUCCGCAUCAGAACCCACCAGGACCUGGCCACAUGUUGAAGCGUCCCCGCUAGUAACCGAAGCAGGCGGGAGUGGGAGGUCGCUGUGCAGCAGCCCUGCCCCGGCCAACGGCUCCAGGCUGCGAGCCGCAGCCGCCGCCACCUCGCAGAGACGGCCGACCGACGGAAGGCACACGGCACCCGACGGCCGACGGACGGAAGGACACACGGCACCCCGACGUGGUCUCACCCAAGCCCGCUGAACUGGAAUCUGAUGGGGCCUCCGCAUCUGUCUACAAAAUCCCAGGGAAUACGGAGGCCAGAGACACACACACGACAGCAGCGGGAUGCAGUCGGCCCGGACAGAGGGGUCUCCGGGAGUGACCAGCCAGCAUUUCUACCCGAUGAAGAGUGGGGGGCAAAGACUGAUGGGGGGGCCACACCAAGAGAAGCCUCGCAGGCGUCGGCCAUC